AACAUGUUGCUUAAGAGCAUGCCUAAAACAAGCUGGAUCACUAGUUCUAAAUUUGAACAUAUUUUUUAGUCAAAAAGUAAGGGAAACUUAUAAUAUUAAAUAAUAAAAUUCUAAAUAAAAUAUCUCUAAUGUGACAGCAUUAGUAUCAUAGCUGCUGCACUUUCACAAACCAUAACAAUGCAAGUUGAAAAUUUUCCAUAAUAGAAAGCAAGGCACUACAAGGUUAAUAGUCAGCCGCUGGGUAAAGCAGAAAUAAAAUCUUCAUCAUGCAAGAUCUGGGCAUAUGACAUACAUGAUGGGCACGUUAACCUCGUAGCUAUCAACAUACCAUUAAUGUGAAUGGGAAUGACAGCUAACGAUGGCAUUGACUACACACAGUAAAGUUUGCAAGUGUGGUAAGUUGAGGUAACAUUUGAAUUGUGUAUUUUGGACCUUAUUAUAGCCAUGCAAAAGCUCCCCUCUCCAGAGCAUCAUGAUGCCGUAAAGGCCAUCUUUAUAGGAAUAAAAGACAUCAAAUAAGUUGUAACCGACCAACUGAUUCAAAAAAUAAAAAAUAAAGCAGGCGCUUUCAUCAAGUAUAAGCCUGACCUUCAUGGGCUUUCCUCAAAUUAUAUUUCCAUUGGCCAUCUGAGUGGCGGAGGCUGCUUCUUCAUGAGUAUUAUAUCUUAUAAAUCCAGAACCUUUAUCUCCCUGAACUUUCACUUCCUCAAUUACCCCAGCCCCAAGAGCAUGAAAUUGACAAUGAAGCUCAGCUUGAGUUACCUCAUGGGAAAGAUUACCAACAUAGACAGUAGUGUAUGCAGGAUUGUUUUCAGGAGCAUCCUCAUUAGUAUUUUCUUGACCU
rnacentral:misc_RNA from 1 species